GAUGAACGCUGGCGGCGUGCCUAAUACAUGCAAGUCGAGCGAACAGACGAGGAGCUUGCUCCUCUGACGUUAGCGGCGGACGGGUGAGUAACACGUGGAUAACCUACCUAUAAGACUGGGAUAACUUCGGGAAACCGGAGCUAAUACCGGAUAAUAUAUUGAACCGCAUGGUUCAAUAGUGAAAGACGGUUUUGCUGUCACUUAUAGAUGGAUCCGCGCCGCAUUAGCUAGGUGGUAAGGUAACGGCUUACCAAGGCGACGAUGCGUAGCCGACCUGAGAGGGUGAUCGGCCACACUGGAAGUGAGACACGGUCCAGACUCCGACGGUAGGCAGCAGUAGGGAAUCUUCCGCAAUGGGCGAAAGCCUGACGGAGCAACGCCGCGGGAGUGAUGAAGGUCUUCGGAUCGUAAAACUCUGUUAUUAGGGAAGAACAAAUGUGUAAGUAACUAUGCACGUCUUGACGGUACCUAAUCAGAAAGCCACGGCUAACUACGUG
rnacentral:rRNA from 1 species